GGACUACCAGGGUUUCUAAUCCCGUUUGCUCCCCUGGCUUUCGCGCCUCAGCGUCAGUAGGUGUCCAGCACGUCGCUUUCGCCACCGGCGUUCCUUCCGAUAUCUACGCAUUUCACCGCUCCACCGGAAGUUCCACAUGCCCCUGCACCCCUCGAGACCACCAGUAUCCGCGGCACUUCUCCGGUUAAGCCGGAGGAUUUCACCACAGACUUGAUGGCCCGCCUACGCGCCCUUUAAGCCCAGUGAAUCCGAACAACGUUCGCACGGUUCGUCUUACCGCGGCGGCUGGCAC
rnacentral:rRNA from 1 species